GACGAACGCUGGCGGCGUGCUUAACACAUGCAAGUCGAACGGAAAGGCCCUGCUUUUGUGGGGUGCUCGAGUGGCGAACGGGUGAGUAACACGUGAGUAACCUGCCCUUGACUUUGGGAUAACUUCAGGAAACUGGGGCUAAUACCGGAUAGGAGCUCCUGCUGCAUGGUGGGGGUUGGAAAGUUUCGGCGGUUGGGGAUGGACUCGCGGCUUAUCAGCUUGUUGGUGGGGUAGUGGCUUACCAAGGCUUUGACGGGUAGCCGGCCUGAGAGGGUGACCGGCCACAUUGGGACUGAGAUACGGCCCAGACUCCUACGGGAGGCAGCAGUGGGGAAUAUUGCACAAUGGGCGGAAGCCUGAUGCAGCAACGCCGCGUGCGGGAUGACGGCCUUCGGGUUGUAAACCGCUUUCGCCUGUGACGAAGCGUGAGUGACGGUAAUGGGUAAAGAAGCACCGGCUAACUACGUGCCAGCAGCCGCGGUGAUACGUAGGGUGCGAGCGUUGUCCGGAUUUAUUGGGCGUAAAGGGCUCGUAGGUGGUUGAUCGCGUCGGAAGUGUAAUCUUGGGGCUUAACCCUGAGCGUGCUUUCGAUACGGGUUGACUUGAGGAAGGUAGGGGAGAAUGGAAUUCCUGGUGGAGCGGUGGAAUGCGCAGAUAUCAGGAGGAACACCAGUGGCGAAGGCGGUUCUCUGGGCCUUUCCUGACGCUGAGGAGCGAAAGCGUGGGGAGCGAACAGGCUUAGAUACCCUGGUAGUCCACGCUGUAAACGGUGGGUACUAGGUGUGGGGUCCAUUCCACGGGUUCCGUGCCGUAGCUAACGCUUUAAGUACCCCGCCUGGGGAGUACGGCCGCAAGGCUAAAACUCAAAGGAAUUGACGGGGCCCCGCACAAGCGGCGGAGCAUGCGGAUUAAUUCGAUGCAACGCGUAGAACCUUACCUGGGUUUGACAUGGAUCGGGAGUGCUCAGAGAUGGGUGUGCCUCUUUUGGGGUCGGUUCACAGGUGGUGCAUGCCUGUCGUCAGCUCGUGUCGUGAGAUGUUGGGUUAAGUCCCGCAACGAGCGCAACCCUUGUUCACUGUUGCCAGCACGUUAUGGUGGGGACUCAGUGUAGACCGCCGGGGUCAACUCGGAGGAAGGUGGGGAUGACGUCAAGUCAUCAUGCCCCUUAUGUCCAGGGCUUCACGCAUGCUACAAUGGCUGGUACAGAGAGUGGCGAGCCUGUGAGGGUGAGCGAAUCUCGGAAAGCCGGUCUCAGUUCGGAUUGGGGUCUGCAACUCGACCUCAUGAAGUCGGAGUCGCUAGUAAUCGCAGAUCAGCAACGCUGCGGUGAAUACGUUCCCGGGGCU
rnacentral:rRNA from 1 species